rnacentral:rRNA from 1 species
AGCAGCCGCGGUAAUUCCAGCUCCAAUAGCGUAUAUUAGAGUUGUUGCAGUUAAAAAGCUCGUAGUUGAAUUUCGGGAUCAAUGUUUCGGUCAUGCCCUUGGUAUGUACUGAUAUUAUUGGUUUCUCACCUUCUAAAGAACCGUAAUGCCAUUAAUUUGGUGUCACGGGGAAUUAGGACUGUUACCUCGAAAAAAUUAGAGUGUUUAAAGCAGGCUCACGCUUGAAUACAUUAGCAUGGAAUAAUGAAAUAGGACAUCCGAUUCUAUUUUGUUGGUUUCUAGGAUCGAUGUAAUGAUUAAUAGGGAUAGUUGGGGGCAUUAGUAUUCAAUUGUCAGAGGUGAAAUUCUUGGAUUUAUUGAAGACUAACUACUGCGAAAGCAUUUGCCAAGGAUGUUUUCAUUAAUCAAGAACGAAAGUUAGGGGAUCGAAGACGAUCAGAUACCGUCGUAGUCUUAACCAUAAACUAUGCCGACUAGGGAUCGGAUGAUGUUAAUUUUUUAAUGACUCA